rnacentral:lncRNA from 1 species
AAUUUGCCACAGACUGUCACACCUCUGGGGUAUGAACAAUACAAAUCUGGGGGAUACCCACUCAGUAAAUGGCCCCUUGCUCUUCCAAUUAAAAAUUCCAUGAUGGCCAAAUAUCACAAACUGUAGAUGGGAAAACCGAGCAUAGCUUCUCUAGCUAGCCAGCUCAAAGGUCCCAAGGAAUCCAUGUUAGCUGUUGGACAGCACGUUUGUUGAGAAGAGAGAGUUACAGAAACUGAGAGCAUAGAAACAUUGCCAGCCAACACCAGCAAGUGAUCACGGUGUGUUCGGAUCAUGUGUGUUCUGCUUUGUUCUGAGCACCACCUCCAGACUAGGUCAUUUUGUUCUACAGUAAUCCCUAAAACUAAUGCUCUUCCCAUCUUGCAGGAGAUAAUAAGAGCUCAUCUGCCUUGCCUUACAAACUGUAUCAAAAAAAAACAUGAAGCAAGACUUGCCCAUGCUCAAGGAUUCAACCCUUGCAGACAGAGAACAAAGCCAGGUCUCUAGUGCUCCUAAGUCUUGUGAGUGUGAAUUCUCUUUCAUAGAUGCCUUGGGUUCUGAAGAAACAUUCUAGAAGGGUUAACUUCCCUUCUCUCCAAAGCCAUAUUUAGCACAUUCAGGCAUCACCAGGGGAUCAUCUGACAUGGCUGAGGUGGUAAGGCAUCUGGUUCUCCCGUGUGCUGGAUCCUAGACAUGUAGAAGCCUGCAGUGUUGGGCAAUGGUCGGUGUCCAGCCAGCUACUUGAGCAUGCAUGGAGGAACUGUGUUAAAAUUUGUCUGUGGAUUUCUUUGCUAUACUGAAGGAAACAGAUUCAAAGGGGAGGGUAGACGGGAACAACAAUAACCAACCUGAAAGCACAAAGGUGACUUUGAAGAUGUAUGUGCCCAGGUGGAGGCAGGGACAUCUGUAGCUCAUCACAGGAUUUAUAAAUCUUUCCCAAAGAAUGACCUCAUGUGUUUGUAUUUAAGCUUGAUAGUCAAAUAAAAUACA